AAUUCAAAUCACAUACGUAUAAAAGGUUCUUUUAAUUUCUCUAUGUUUUAUCAACUCUCAAUUCCCUCUCUAAAACUCACUUUCUCUCUCUCUCUCAAAUCCAUCUCACACCAUCUGCAAAGAGAACUAGAGAAAAAAAAAGGCAUGGGCAAUUAACAGAGAACAUGGAGCUUUAAUGGCUUCUCCGAAGAAAGAUAUGCUUCUAUAAUGACGAAAAUGAUGAAAAUCACCACUCGAUUGUAUCGCUAUUGAAUCUUCUCUUCUUCCUCCAUCCAAAAUGAUGAAAAUUAGGGUUGAAUCAUUCAAAGUCUGAAUUUUAUGUGUGUGUCGCUUGAAUCUAAAUCGACUGAGAUUGAAAUUGUUUGCAAAUUACUUGAAAAAGAGUGACGUGAUUUCAGAACUGAAUCAAAAUUGUUGUGCUGAACUGAAAUUAUUUGAUUUAGAUCUAUUCAAAAUCGUGAUUGUGUUUUAGAAUCAGAAGUGUAUACUGUUGUAAUGUUUGAAGAAUAAUCGAAGAAGAUAAGAAGCUGGUCAGCGAUGUUGACAAGUAACCAUAUCAUCCCGUUUCAUCUUUCUAUUAUAUAUAAACAUGCAGUAUACAUUUUGGCUGUUCAUUUGUUUAUAUUGAUAUCGAGUUUUUUGAUGUUUAUGAGUGUAGAUCUCCAGUUAAUGAUGUUGUUAACAAAGAAGAUAAGGGUUGUUGGGUGAAUAAGAUGGCGAUUUAGGUUAAUUAAUCACGUUUUAAAUUGAUUAUAAAUGUUUAAUAUGGAGCCUUUGUUAUUAUUCUACAUAUUUGUUUGAAAGGUUAAGCCAAUCGAGACUGAUAUGAUUGGAAAAUCAUAUGUUGAUUUUGGAACUUUAUAUAACUUUUAGGCAAAGGUGAAGAAAAGAAGAACAGGUUUAAAGUUACCUCUUUGUGUUUUAAACAAAUCUCUGGAUAUAAACAGAGGUGAAGCAAAGAAGAAUAGGUUUAAACAGGGGUAAGCGUUUUUUAUUUUACUUAUUGGAGUUGCAUUUUCUUAUAUUGAUAUCGAGUUUUUUUUAUGUUUAUGAGUGUAUAUCUCCAGUUAAUGAUGUUGUUAACAAAGAUUUAGUGUGGUUGUCUUUACAUGAAUCAAGGAUGUUGCACAGAUGUAUUGUUCAUCUGUUGAUUAUCUUUCUCGAACCCAGGAAUAGAAAGUUUAUUCAUACGAAUUCAGAUUGAAAGUCUUAUUCACACGAAUCCUCAUAUUCACGAAUCAGUGAUUAACAAAUACGUGAAUUCAGUUUCGUACAAAUCAGUGAAUUCAGAUUCAUCUUGCUGAAUAUAUGUGCAGAAUCUAGUGUUUAAUUUGUCACGGAUUAGAAAUUGAUAUUUGAACGAAUCCAUAAUUCUUGCAGGUUAAUCACAGAUCUGUUACGAAUCAACAUUCAGAGUUGUUAUGAACUAAAUGCAUCUGCACGAUUGAAAUUAAGUACAUCUGCAUAACUGUUUGAUCUGCAAUAUAGUUACUGUUUGAACUGUUUAGAAAUCAAGUUCAGAAUCUGCAGAACUAAUUUGCACAGAAUUUUAGUCCAUUCGCAGAAUCGAACUAUAUCCGCAGUAUCUAUUUUUGUUCAUCUGCAGUUAAUCAUAUAUGUCCAUCUGUAUAGCCGUUUGAUUCAGAAGUUCAUUCACUCGAAUCAAAUAAAACUUCAUGCGUAGAAUUCGCUGAAAACAGUAUUAUCCACUGCAGAAGUGUUUGUUUGCUGAAUUAUCUGCUGCAGAAUUGUCUUUUAGAUCAAACUUAAAUCAAUAUUUUUGUCCUUCCGCAGAAUUGACAUUCAUUCACUGAUUAUUAUUGUCAUUCGUUGAAAUCCGAGUUUGUCCGCAGUAACAAUCUGCUGCAGAAUUAUUAUAUACAGAUUUUCUAUCUUUCUAUCCAGAUGUUGGUUGUAGGAAAAGAAAGAAAUUUGAUGCUUAUAAGGCUUAAUUCAAUUCUCAACAAUUAAGAUAUGAAUCAGGUGCCUAUGUUUAAUUUGCUUUACUAUUUUCAGUCAUGUUAUCAGUACAUGGUAAUUACAGUAUUUACAUAUUAAAUGACACGUCAAGCUAAUACUAGCAAGUGCUUUUAAUCACCAGAGAUAUGGAUCAUGAUCCUCAAUCAUUAAUUGAGCUUACAGGUACUUCAGAUGAAAGCGGACUCACUUUUCAUGUUGAGGAGGUAUGAAGAGGUUAUUCAGAUUCUUACAUCUGAUAAAGCAGAUACACCCGCUUGAAGCCUCGAAGAUUCAAACAUUUUUUGGAGAUCUUGAUUAGUUGAUUCUCAAUGUUUAUUUUUUCGGUAUUUGGUUUUGGAUGUUAAUACUGAUGACUUUAUCAUUCUCUGUGAUGAAGGAACAUCAAUUAUUGAAAGACCGUAAGAAGAAUCAAAAAACGACUCGUGUUUGUGGGGAAAACGGUUCGAUAAAUUCAUCACAAGGUGCCUCAAAUCAGAACAAUAGCAAAGGAAACUCCUCUCCUUUUAAAGAAAGCCAAAUAGAAGAAAAGAUUUGGUGAUUAUAUUAUUGUUUGUUUGAAUAAAUAGGCCUUUGGCUUUGAGGAUAAAAUUGUGGUUCUGAAUGUAAUUAUGGUUUUAAGGAUAAAAUAGGCCCUUGAAACCUCUGUUUGUUGUCAAACAUGUAUUUGGCAAAGGUUUGUUUUAUAUUUUAAAACCUCUGUUUGUUGUGAACAGAUGUUAGAACGUAAAACAGUGGUUCAUACAUCUGUUGACUUUGGUCAA